CACGUAGGGUGCGAGCGUUGUCCGGAAUUAUUGGGUUUAAAGGGUGCGUAGGCGGGUUGGUAAGUCCGUGGUGAAAUCUCCAAGCUUAACUUGGAAACUGCCGUGGAUACUAUCAAUCUUGAAUAUCGUGGAGGUAAGCGGAAUAUGUCAUGUAGCGGUGAAAUGCUUAGAUAUGACAUAGAACACCAAUUGCGUAGGCAGCUUACUACACGAUCAUUGACGCUGAGGCACGAAAGCGUGGGGAGCAAACAGG
rnacentral:rRNA from 1 species